rnacentral:lncRNA from 1 species
CUCUCUCUCUCCUGCUGCAUUGUGAAGAAACUGCUUGCUUCCCUCUCACCCUCUGCAGUUUCCUGAGGCCUCCCCAGCCAUGCGGAACGCUGUAGACCAAGACCUGGAAUUAACACAUCAGAAGAUUCUAUGAGGAAACCCAUUUAAAAAUAGGAUGCAUUUUUUUCUUUUCUGCACAGGGAGAAAGUUUAAGCUCUCCUCACUAUGAGUUUUCAAGUAUAAAAGACUUUUUCUUCCACGAUUUUGAGAACAACUGAGGACUCUUGUGACCAGGACAACAGGGAAGCUUGCAGCAAGAUAGCUCCAGGUUGGAUUCAUGCUUCGCACCCCAAGGGCUGCCAGCCAGAGAGGAGGAGAAGCAAUCACUCCUGCAGUUUCUGAACACUACACAGACGCCAGGUAGCUUCUUCAGGAGAACAGCCCUCUGAGGAGGCAGGAAGAGGAGGCUUAUCUUUCAGCAGCCGGAGCUGCUGAGAUCUCUGGGCAGAUUAAGCUCUCUCUAAUGGAUGGGCUCCAGCCUGGCACAUUCAGUGGAGAGGGAUCCACUCAUCCAUCAUCAACAUAAUAUGGUCCUCCCUGCACUUCACAGUGUCCUCUUGCUAUUGAAAAGGCUUUUUUGCCUUCUCAAGUUUCUUUGUCAACAGUCUACAGGAAGAAGCUCAGGCCGCCACCGGCAGAGGUGAAUGCAAGCUCACGUUUUAUUUCUGACUGCUUAAUCAUUGCCUCGAUCACUGCUCAAGCUCUGCCUUUGUUUCCAAAGGUUACCUGUGGGAAAACUUCUUUUUCUAUGCUGAAAUUAAUAGGGAGGCAAAGAUGAGUCCACUGAUAAGCAGAGCCUUAAAACUCACAUAGAGAAACAACUUUGCUGGAGUGUGUGUGAGUGAACCACUAAGGAAUCAGAUAGUGUGAUGGCAGUUAUCAUUGCAGGUUAAGACAUUUCUACAAAUAUUUCGACAUCUCCAUAUACUCACUCCUUUCCCCCCUGAGUGGAGAGACUCAGCUACCAAGAGAGGAAGCUCAAAAAAAACAGAAGCUUCAAACAAACAACCAACCAAAAAAAAAAAAAAACUGUGGGUUCAUCAGAGGUGGUAGGGAAGACAAAAACAUGGGAGGAGCAGCUGGGCACGGUGGCUCAAGCCUGUAAUCCCAGCACUUUGCGAGGCUGAGGUGGGUGGAUCACCUGAGGUCAGGAGUUCGAGACCAGCCUGGCCAACAUGGUGAAACCCCAUCUCUACUAAAAAUACAAAAAAUUAGCCGGGCGUUGUGGUACGCACCUGUAAUCCCAGCUACUCCGGAGGCUGAGGCAGCAGAAUCGCUUGAACCCAGGAGGCAGAGGUUGCAACGAGCCAAGAUCGCACCAUUGCACUCCAGCCUGGGCAACAAGAGCGAAACUCCAUCUAAAAAAAACAAACAAGCAAACAAACAAAAAACACGGGAGGAGCAAUAAAAAGGAAUCCAUGCUUUGAUUUUUUUUUUUAGUGAGAGGAAGGGAAGGCUGCUGCCUCUCACUUCUCCCUGUUUUGUUGUUCUUUUAAGUAGCAUGUGUCACUCUGUAUAUAUCCUGUCCAUGUGUUUUCUUUUAUUAUUAUUUGUCCACUUGCCUAGAAUGAAAACUCCAUGGGA